GACGUACGCUGGCGGCGUGCCUAAUACAUGCAAGUAGAACGCUGAAGGAGGAGCUUGCUUCUCUGGAUGAGUUGCGAACGGGUGAGUAACGCGUAGGUAACCUGCCUGGUAGCGGGGGAUAACUAUUGGAAACGAUAGCUAAUACCGCAUAAUAGUAGAUGUUGCAUGACAUUUGCUUAAAAGGUGCAAUUGCAUCACUACCAGAUGGACCUGCGUUGUAUUAGCUAGUUGGUGGGGUAACGGCUCACCAAGGCGACGAUACAUAGCCGACCUGAGAGGGUGAUCGGCCACACUGGGACUGAGACACGGCCCAGACUCCUACGGGAGGCAGCAGUAGGGAAUCUUCGGCAAUGGACGGAAGUCUGACCGAGCAACGCCGCGUGAGUGAAGAAGGUUUUCGGAUCGUAAAGCUCUGUUGUAAGAGAAGAACGAGUGUGAGAGUGGAAAGUUCACACUGUGACGGUAUCUUACCAGAAAGGGACGGCUAACUACGUG
rnacentral:rRNA from 1 species